UCAACACUACUACCUUCCGGAAACAAUCAAUCAUGGCUCUAUGCGCCUCUAAAAAGUCCAUACCCAAGAUUACAUCAAACUCCACAAUAUCUAAUGGAAUCAAGUCAACCUCGAAACUAAGACCCUCUACCAACACCUCACAACCUUUAAAUACCCAAUCUAUCUUCAUCACAUCACCGGAAGGCAAGGAAACCUGCCAUUCGCCUAGAAGUGGCGAAGAUGGCACAUUGGCGAGAAAUGAAAAUCUACUCAACAUAAAGGAAUGUGUCGCUCCAGGGUCUAUCAAUAUAAAAGCAGGAUGACCGAAAAUUAACAACGUACCAAUGAUAACAUCUGGGGAGGUACGUCCCUCCUGCUGCGUCAUGGCAUGAAGCCUAGCAUGAGUAGUGGCAGGACGACCUCUUUGUCCUCUGCCCAGCUGGAAGCCGCCUCUGACUGGAGCCAUGGCGCGAGUGCCACUACUAGAACCACCAGCUGAUGCCUGACCCAUGGCCUAAGUAGGAGCAUAUAUAGCUCCCUGAGUCAGAAGAGGGCAAUCCCUCUUGAAGUGAUCCAGCUGACCACACUGAAAACAUCCCCCUGACUGAAACUGACUCUGUUCAGACUGAAAAGAUUGACCACCUGAGGUCCCACUCCUACUGCUCGAUCCACUCCUGAAUCGCCCAAGCUGACGCCCAAUAAAAUUCUUGAAGGGUCUACUACCAUGCUUCUUGAACUUUCCUCUGAAACCGGAGCCAGGACUCGAACUGCUACCAUGUCCACUACCAGAAGAUGAUCCAGAACCCGAGGUGGACGCCAAUUUCCUUGAUGAACCCUGGCUAUGACCACCAGAAUCACGAAGACGACUAGCUGCCAACUCCUGGGCCUCAAUAUUCAGAGCAAAAGUCACAGCCUGGUGAAAUGACUGAUAUGGCACCGCUGUCAUCCUGUUUGCAUAAAUACCACCAAGACCCUUAGUGAACUGAUAAAUCUUCUCCUGCUCUGUCUUCACCAAAUCCGG
rnacentral:lncRNA from 1 species